AGCUCCGAGGUGUAACAUGUCGGCCUGCAAACCCGAAGUUGGCACUCUGCCCGGGGCUU
rnacentral:tRNA from 1 species